UAAGGAAUAUUGGUCAAUGGACGGAAGUCUGAACCAGCCAUGCCGCGUGAAGGAUGAAGGCCCUCUGGGUUGUAAACUUCUUUUAUCUGGGAAGAAAUGCCUGAUUUUGAUUGGGUUUGACGGUACCAGAGGAAUAAGCACCGGCUAACUCCGUGCCAGCAGCCGCGGUAAUACGGAGGGUGCGAGCGUUAUCCGGAUUCACUGGGUUUAAAGGGUGCGUAGGUGGGUUGGUAAGUCAGUGGUGAAAUCUCCGUGCUUAACAUGGAAACUGCCAUUGAUACUACUGGUCUUGAAUUUUCUGGAGGUAAGCGGAAUAUGUCAUGUAGCGGUGAAAUGCUUAGAUAUGACAUAGAACACCAAUUGCGAAGGCAGCUUACUACAGGGACAUUGACACUGAUGCACGAAAGCGUGGGGAUCAAACAG
rnacentral:rRNA from 1 species